rnacentral:ncRNA from 1 species
UUGAGCUGUAUGAGGUAGGAAACUCUCAUGUACAGUUCUAAGGGAAGAUGCUUUUAUCUAUCCCAAC